rnacentral:lncRNA from 1 species
CGCAGCAAGGGCCAGACUCUGCGCUAGCAGGCGCUGCGCGCCAACCGGCCGGCACCUGUCGCAGAAGGUGCAACCGAUCGCACUGUCGCGCAGAAGCUCCUCAAUGGCCAGCGCCAGCUGCAGCCCCGGCCGCCCACUCGCCUCAUCUGAGCCUGGGCAAAUCUGGAUUGGGAAAGUUGACAUUAAUCAACUCAUUAUUCCUCACAGAUUUGUAUUCUCCAGAGUAUCCAGGUCCUUCUCAGAGAAUUAAAAAGCCUGUACAGGUCUAGAUAUUGGUAUUUUUAAUUGAUGAUAAGCUGGAAUAAUAUUAAUACACACAAAGCACGUGUUGUAACUUUCAUUAUGCUUCCUUAGAGCGCUGCUCUAAGCUGUUGAUGAAAAAUAUUGUUGGUGAGCUCUGCUUAGGUAAUAUAUAGGACAUGAGCAGAGAGGAGGCACGUGAACAGUUCUGGCCUGGAGUAGGCUUCAUUGAGGCUGUGAUGCUUUUAGCUGGAUUUGAAGAAGUGGUAGUGAUCAUCCCAGUGCACAGGAUAGGUGGACAGUCUAUGUAUUCUGAGCAGUAACUCAUAUAUCUCAUACUGCAAGACCCCAAAGGAGUAAUUUUGUGAACUCUGUUCACGGAAAGGGCCUGGGAGCUGCAACACCUCAACAGCAACAAGCACACCUGCUACCUAGAACUUGGUUUCUAAAAACCAUCCUCCUCUAAAAGGAAACAGAGCUCUUUGAAGAAACGCAGAAGGUAAGCAUGAGCAAAUUACUUUUUAGAGGUAACUUUGCUGAACUUGUGAAGAAUGGUGUGCAAGGUCCAGAGCGACUGCAGGAGAGGGAAGGUGGGAUUCCCACAGAGCAGGAGCACAGAUAAGCCAAGCAAGGCCCUGCUUGGAAGGCAGCAAUCAACAGAGAUGCACAGACCUGUGAGGGUGCCGGGACAGCCAUGCAACAAUGCAGCCCUUUUGCUUCCUGAGCUCACCAGUUCCCUCGCUCCACCUCUGAGAGGUGGUUUGGAGAAACACAGCCCUUCUCAAGAGGGCUGCAAGCUACUUAAGUCCUGAAAAUUUCCACAAGGCUGAGUCAAAUCUGCGUUUCAUCAUCUAUAAGAAAGGUACCUAUCGAGAACACCCUGCUGGCCAGUGUGUAAAUAUCUAAAGGAGGACUCAGAAAACACCGGGGAAGUCCAGCCUGCACGUGGUGGCUGGGCUUCAGUGAAGCAUGCAGCACAACAGGAGUUGUAAGUAGUAGUUACAUCAGCAGCCCUGGAAAUUCUGCUCAGAACCAAACUGAACAAAUAACAUUAUCUAAGGCUUACAAUUAUUUAACUCCCUAAAUUUUCUGUCCUCCCAGUAGCACUUUCAAAUGCCUAAAAGCAAUUAAAAGAAACAUUUUUCCAAU